CGAGUUUAUUUUGGCUUGUGCUGAGCAUUCAUAAAAUUCCUAGGGAACUGGAGGUUUAAAAGUCGGCCUUGUAAAAGGAGUAGGUGGGAGGGGGUGGGGACCGGGCAGAGAGGGGAGAGGACAGCAGCCAGCCCUGGGAAGCUGGAAGACAAGGCUGAGUUUUCCACUCUCCACUCAAGGCCUCGCCUCCUCACCUGAGAGAGCCCCUCUUGCCGGUCCCGGCCCCACCUCCUGGCUGACGGGCCAGGGUGAGGAGGAUGCUUUCCUAAGGCGGAUCCGGAGGUGUAAUCAUCCUGGGGCCUUGAGGGCCAGCACACCUUGUAAAUUCAAAAGUCAACAAGAUGUGGAAGCGGAGGAGACCCUCCGCUGGCCAGUGAGGAGGAAGUGGGAGGUCACCGAGGACGCGGGAGGCAAGAGCAUCGCUUCCUGGGCCCGGCUCAGCUGUGGCACCCGCUUCCUGCUAUUUACACCACGACACCAUCUUCUCUGGAAAAGGAUGCCGAGCUCUUACCCCUGGAAGGUUGAUGCAAUGGGCCCAUCAGGACACUUUAGCAGACGUGUGGCUUCAGUCAACUCAUUUGUGAAAUGAGGAUUAUAAUACGCACCCCCCCACCUGUCGCCUCGGCUUCUGACGAAAGUCAAAUGAGAUACUGACUACGAUGGUGCUUUGUACGCUGGCUGUGUUUACGUGUGAAAG
ensembl:lincRNA